UGACUGCUAAUACCGCAUAAGCACACGUGAUCGCAUGAUCGAGUGUGAAAACUCCGGUGGUAUGAGAUGGACCCGCGUCUGAUUAGCUAGUUGGUGGGGUAAUGGCCCACCAAGGCGACGAUCAGUAGCCGGCCUGAGAGGGUGAACGGCCACAUUGGGACUGAGACACGGCCCAAACUCCUACGGGAGGCAGCAGUGGGGAAUAUUGCACAAUGGGGGGAACCCUGAUGCAGCGACGCCGCGUGAAGGAUGAAGUAUUUCGGUAUGUAAACUUCUAUCAGCAGGGAAGAAAAUGACGGUACCUGACUAAGAAGCCCCGGCUAACUACGUGCCAGCAGCCGCGGUAAUACGUAGGGGGCAAGCGUUAUCCGGAUUUACUGGGUGUAAAGGGAGCGUAGACGGCAGUGCAAGUCUGAAGUGAAAGCCCGGGGCUCAACCCCGGGACUGCUUUGGAAACUGUGCAGCUAGAGUGUCGGAGAGGCAAGCGGAAUUCCUAGUGUAGCGGUGAAAUGCGUAGAUAUUAGGAGGAACACCAGUGGCGAAGGCGGCUU
rnacentral:rRNA from 1 species